AAAAUAAAGAAGAAUCGUUUGUACGUCUCUUCUUUUCUCUGUCUGUCUUUCUUUCUCUUCUUUGGCUUAGCCAUGUCUCUGCUUUCUCUAUACUUUCCUUAGCAAAGAAGAGAAAGCAAAGAAAUCAAAGUAAACAAAUGAAAACCCACCAAAAAAUUCAAAUCUCUUGUUAGUUUUUUUUUUUGGUGCGUGUGUGUGCGCGUUCAAAAAAAUCGAAUUAUUUUUGGGUUUUAAGCUGUUGAAUGGUGAAGAAGAUGACGGUUGCAAAUAAUUUUGAUUUGUGGAAAAAAGAUGCCUUCUUUUCUGCAGCAGAAGAGGUUCAAGAAUCUGCUGAUAUGUGACCUGUAAUGGAACCAUGAACUUUCUAUAAAGCAUUUUCAUAAUUGCUCGACUUUUCUGUGUCACUUGCAAUGCAAACUCAAGGUCUACAUUAUAGCCAUGCUGGAAUUUGUUUAUUUGUAAUUUGUUAUGUUUUCUGGGUUUUGCUUAUAAUGUCUGCAUUAAUAUUCAUUUCACAUUUUUGUUUUUCCCCCUUUGUAAAGAUAUUUGCUUUUGUUUCUUUUUCCCAUCACAUUCAAAGUUCUAAACUAAUUUCAUUUUUAGGUUCAAAGUUUCUUUUUUUUUUAAUUAUUUUAUUAACAACAUUGACUUUUAAUAUUUAUUUUGAUAGUUUUUUUGGGGGAGGUGUGUGGGGGCUUUUGAACAUAAGAUUGAUUCUGCCUGUGUUAUGUAUUUGCCAAAUUCCAGUUUUGGAUUCAAAGUUUGUAUGUGUUUCUUACCAUUUUCUAAGAAAUAAAAAAUAUGUUAUUAAUAUUGUAUUUGUUAAGUCUUUUUCACAUAAUUUUCUUUGAAGUUUGAACAUUGUUUUGCUCCUUUUCAUUAUGGAAAAACAAAUCUUUUUCCAAUUUAGUCUUUGUUUUAAUUAUUUUAUAUAGUUAAAUUACUCAAAGUUUCUUUCCGUUUUUGAUCCAAACUUUUCUUUUGUACAAAAUUACUCUCUCUUAACUUUUUAUAUUAUAUAUAUGUUUUAUAAGAUUAUCUUUAGCUCUCAGUUUUCACUUUCACAUUGAGUUAUUUGAGCAUUUUCAUAUUUCUUUCUAAUGUGGGACAGAUUUCAUUUUCUUAAAAAGAAAAAAUUAUAUUGUUUUCAUAUUAGAGUUGAUGAUUAUGAUUUAACCUCCUCUACAAUCUUUCAGUCAAGGGAAAGUAAUGAAAGCUUAUAGCCAUGCUGGAAUUAGCACCAUCAUCAAUUCAUGGUUGUAGAUAUUAAAUGGUCUAGGGAACAAUGUGUGUUAGAAUUUGUACUAACUGAAUUCCUUGCAAUGAUCUCUUGUACUUUUAGCUAAUACAAGUUGUGCCCAUUUGGUAGAGAGAUGCUUGAUUUUCUUGUUUGUAUGUUUUUGCAGAGGUUCGGUGUCAAGCAAAAGGUUCCAAGAUUUGACAUGCUUAUUCUGUUUCUUUCACCUACAGAAUGAAAUAAUGAAAUUAUAAAUUAAUACAUAAUAAACUUUUAUUUUGAUUUAUGAAAAAUUAUACAUAAUCAGUGAAGCUCAGUUCCUUUGUUUGAAUUCUUAUGCUUUAGGUAGAUAAGGGUUUCUCUGUACUGCCUGAAAAUAUU